rnacentral:rRNA from 1 species
GAUGAACGCUGGCGGCGUGCCUAAUACAUGCAAGUCGAGCGAACAGACGAGGAGCUUGCUCCUCUGACGUUAGCGGCGGACGGGUGAGUAACACGUGGAUAACCUACCUAUAAGACUGGGAUAACUUCGGGAAGCCGGAGCUAAUACCGGAUAAUAUAUUGAACCGCAUGGUUCAAUAGUGAAAGACGGUUUUGCUGUCACUUAUAGAUGGAUCCGCGCCGCAUUAGCUAGUUGGUAAGGUAACGGCUUACCAAGGCAACGAUGCGUAGCCGACCUGAGAGGGUGAUCGGCCACACUGGAACUGAGACACGGUCCAGACUCCUACGGGAGGCAGCAGUAGGGAAUCUUCCGCAAUGGGCGAAAGCCUGACGGAGCAACGCCGCGUGAGUGAUGAAGGUCUUCGGAUCGUAAAAAUCUGUUAUUAGGGAAGAACAAAUGUGUAAGUAACUAUGCACGUCUUGACGGUACCUAAUCAGAAAGCCACGGCUAACUACGUG